GAUGAACGCUAGCUACAGGCUUAACACAUGCAAGUCGAGGGGUAACGAGAGGUAAGCUUGCUUUCCUUGUCGACGACCGGCGCACGGGUGAGUAACGCGUAUCCAACCUGCCCCCAACUAGGGAAUAACCUUGCGAAAGUAAGACUAAUACCCUAUAAUUUCCUCAGAUGACAUCUGACGAGGAAUAAAGAUUUAUCGGUUGUGGAUGGGGAUGCGUCUGAUUAGCUUGUUGGCGGGGUAACGGCCCACCAAGGCAACGAUCAGUAGGGAUUCUGAGAGGAAGGUCCCCCACAUUGGAACUGAGACACGGGCCAAACUCCGACGGGAGGCAGCAGUGAGGAAUAUUGGUCAAUGGGCGGAAGCCUGAACCAGCCAAGUAGCGUGCAGGAUGACGGCCCUAUGGGUUGUAAACUGCUUUUAUACAGGAAUAAAGUUAGCCACGUGUGGUUAUUUGUAGGUACUGUAUGAAUAAGGACCGGCUAAUUCCGUGCCAGCCGCCGCAGUAA
rnacentral:rRNA from 1 species